GAUGAACGCUGGCGGCGUGCCUAAUACAUGCAAGUCGAGCGAACAGACGAGGAGCUUGCUCCUCUGACGUUAGCGGCGGACGGGUGAGUAACACGUGGAUAACCUACCUAUAAGACUGGGAUAACUUCGGGAAACCGGAGCUAAUACCGGAUAAUAUAUUGAACCGCAUGGUUCAAUAGUGAAAGACGGUUUUGCUGUCACUUAUAGAUGGAUCCGCGCCGCAUUAGCUAGUUGGUAAGGUAACGGCUUACCAAGGCAACGAUGCGUAGCCGACCUGAGAGGGGGAUCGGCCACAGGGGAGAUGAGACCGGCCCCAGACUCCGAGGGGAGGAAGAAGUAGGAAAUCUCCCGAAAGGGGCGAAACCCGGAGGGCGCAGCGCCGCGGGAGUGAUGAAGGUUUUGGAAUCGUAAAACUCUGUUAUGGGGGAAGAAAAAAUGUGAAGGUAACUAUGCACGUCUGGAGGGUCCCAAUCGAGAAAGCCGCGGCUGACUACGU
rnacentral:rRNA from 1 species